rnacentral:lncRNA from 1 species
AGCCCGUGCCUUCCGGCAUUUCUCCCGUUCCGAUGCAGCACGCCCGCCUCACAAUGAAUACAUUUUUGCCUUCGAGCCUGGGACUAACCCUCCUCAAAGCUCAAGCCCACAUAUCAGCGGCCACAACUCUUCCUGCCCUCGUCCCUCGCCCAUAGAGGGCAAGGAAGUGAGGUGGGGAACGAGCGCUGAGCAAGGCGAAGGCGCUUACCUGGAAAUUAAAAGUCAGAGGACGGCAGAGACGACGAGCUCGAAGGAACCGGGAGAACAGAGAGACUGCGGCGCGGGAAGACGCCUGAUAAAGCGUUCUGCCCGAGAGACUGGCCCCCUUUCCAUCUCAAACGGUUGGAUCCAUAGAGCCUUUUCCUCCCUGACGUCAUUUUCAGUGUUUUUGACGUCAUCUCUCCCUUUCCAUAGGAAGUCCUAACUGACAGUAGGAACUCUACAUUGUUGACUCCUAGAAUAAAUUUGUUCAACAUUGUAAAGGCCUGCCUCCCACUCCUCCACCAACCCCACCACAAAUCGAUUUGCUACCCUUUGGAUGCCAUUCAUCUGUAAUUCCUGGCUGAGCUUUCUGUGACAUGUUUGCUGGUUUAUCAAGAGCAGUCCUAAAGAGGGGACUAAAGUGACACGGAACUGUGAUAUACUGCCAAGAGGUACAGGAACAGGCCUUCCUAGAAGUGGAUCCACACCUACACUACUGUGUAGGCUGACACCUGGAUGGAUGGUAUAUGAAUGCUAUGAAUCAGAGUCACCUAGCUAGGCCAAUCCCAGAACCCCGACCGUCUAAAACCACAGAUGUUUGUUUUGUCUUGAGACUGUGUAACUCAAUUUGUGAAUUGGUGCUUAGUUCCCUUGCCCCUUGAGCCUCACACAGGCUCGAACUUAAUGCAUGCAGCAGCAUGCCUGAUAUACUCAUUAAGCUUUGUGCUAAUUUGAUAUCAAUAGAUACCUAAUACAUCUUCCCAGCAAAGAGGCCUCAGCAUGUGCCUCUGACGUACUGGCCGUCUCCACUUCGUGUUCAGGAGGGUCAGGGGGCAGUGAACUCCAGGUGACUUCUAGCAUUCGGAGAGCAUCAUCGAAGGCGAAUUCACGCUUGAGCUCCAGCAGCAGCCAGCGGUAACAGAAAAAGAGGUCAUCGGCACCUGCUUCUUGCAGGUCUGCCUUCCUGCCACUGGGACAUACCCGACAGAGACCCUCCUUCCCUGGGAUUUCUCUAUCCCACCUAUGACUGUGUUCUACUGAACAUUUGAUAGAGUGUGAUGGGUUCGGUGACGGACUGAGGCGGCUCACUUUUCGAAGUGAAGGCUCCACACCGCCGUGGUAGAUCCUCAAACGCAACUCCUCAGGCCGGGAGAGCUGACCUUCAUGAUUCAGGUGUCUUCCUCAGUCCGGAGAGAUGGCUCAGCAGUUAAAAGCACUGGAUGUUCUUCCAGAGUUCAUUUCCCAGCAACCACAUGGUGGCUCACAACCAUCUGUAAUGGGAUCUGAUGCC